rnacentral:lncRNA from 1 species
UCAUUCUUACUGCUAACACCAGCACUCCCACAAAUCGCCCACCACAAUUUCACCACCAGCGCCAUCACUGUCAUCGCUACGCACCCCCAAUGCAUCGUUGUCAUCACUACCCAUCACCAGUUUCUUUUGUAAAUUGGCUUGCUUAUAAAAAUUCUCCAACUAUUUUUUCUUUUUUCUUGCUGCAAAUUUUUAGAACCCUUUUAUAAAUCACUAACACAUUAUCAUCUCCAUAAGAAUUUAAUUCAAUUUUAAGAAGACAAAUAAAGUAAACAAAACUGUAAUUGGAAAAGGGUAAAAAUAUACAAAUAAAGAAAAGAACAAAGAUUUUAACUAAAUAACUCAUCAAUGUCAAUCUUGACACUUCACUAUCUUUAAAGAUAUCUCUGUUAGAUGGAGAAGAUCAAAUUGAAAUCCUCGGUGGGCCUUUUAUUUUCUUCUUGUUUUAUAGCCUUGCGUUGCAAAAAGAGUGAUUUAAUUGCUUCCCUUUAGAUAUAUUUUCCUUGAGACAAACAAAGCCUACAUUUAGCAUAAAGAGAUCGGUGCCCUUUAGCAUUCUUCUUGUCGCGUCAACUGCAAUACACAAAUGGGUUUUGCAAAGUAGAAACGGUGGUGGGGAGAGAAAGGGAAGAGGCUGAAUAAGAGAAGAAAAUGUCAAUGCUUGGAGUUUCUGAGUGUGAAGAAGAUUAAUGAUGAGGUGUUAAUGGUAGAGUUGUUGGUUGUUUCCAUCAACAACGACGCCAUGUUUGAAAGGUUCCAUCACUGUCGUCGCCGCCCACCAUUUUAAGCUCACCACCAGCCACCACCGCUUCCUGAAAUUGAAGUGCUAGUUUUUUUUGUUUUAGUGAGAAUUUCUUUUUUCUUUGUUUAUUGAUUUUAGGGUUCGUAAAGAAUUUAAUUUCAAUUUCAGUCUAAUUGUAAAGGAUUAAUUAACAGUGGUGGACACUGGUAAUGUUGGAAUUACUGAAAUCCAACGGACAGAACCCCAAAAAAAAAUAGCACUUUGAAAAGGUAAUCAAGGUAAGAAUCAAGCAUUUUUUAUUUUAAAAUUUUGUUUAAGUUUUAAUUUAAUAUAUUAGAUUUAUUUAUAUUAAAUAAAAUAAAAUAGUUUCAUUUAAAAAUAAAAGAAUGUAAAAAAUAUAAAUUUAAGAAAUUAAUUUUAAAAGUACUAAAAGUAAUAAAAU